AUUGAACGCUGGCGGCAUGCCUUACACAUGCAAGUCGAACGGCAGCGGGCCUUCGGGUGCCGGCGAGUGGCGAACGGGUGAGUAAUGCAUCGGAACGUGCCAUUGAGUGGGGGGAUAACGUAGCGAAAGUUGCGCUAAUACCGCAUAUUCUGUGAGCAGGAAAGCAGGGGACCGCAAGGCCUUGCGCUCUUUGAGCGGCCGAUGUCAGAUUAGCUAGUUGGUGAGGUAAAGGCUUACCAAGGCGACGAUCUGUAGCGGGUCUGAGAGGAUGAUCCGCCACACUGGAACUGAGACACGGUCCAGACUCCUACGGGAGGCAGCAGUGGGGAAUUUUUGGGACAAUGGGGGGCAACCCUGAUCCAGCCAUGCCGCGUGAGUGAAGAAGGCCUUC
rnacentral:rRNA from 1 species